AAGAAAUUAGUUUAAACAAAACGGCUAACUUCGAACUAGCAGCCUCAGAUGCCCUGAAUUUCUUAA
rnacentral:tRNA from 1 species